AGAGUUUGAUCCUGGCUCAGGAUGAACGCUGGCGGCGUGCCUAAUACAUGCAAGUCGAACGAGGUGCUUUUGUAGCAAUACGAGAGUAUCCUAGUGGCGAACGGGUGAGUAACGCGUUGGUGACCUACCCCAAAGUGUGGAAUAACAGUCCGAAAGGAUUGCUAAUACCGCAUGUGGUUAUCGGGUUUAGAAACCGAUAACUAAAGGAGCAAUUCGCUUUGGGAGGGACCUGCGUCCCAUCAGCUAGUUGGUGAGGUAAUGGCUCACCAAGGCUACGACGGGUAGGGGACCUGAGAGGGUGACCCCCCACAAUGGAACUGAAACACGGUCCAUACACCUACGGGUGGCAGCAGUAGGGAAUAUUGCACAAUGGGCGAAAGCCUGAUGCAGCAACGCCGCGUGUGCGAUGAAGGCCUUCGGGUCGUAAAGCACUUUUCUGAGAGAUGAGAAAGGACAGUAUCUCAGGAAUAAGUCUCGGCUAACUACGUGCCAGCAGCCGCGGUAAU
rnacentral:rRNA from 1 species